rnacentral:rRNA from 1 species
GUCCCAAGGGUAUGGCUGUUCGCCAUUUAAAGAGGUACGUGAGCUGGGUUUAAAACGUCGUGAGACAGUUUGGUCCCUAUCUUCCGUGGGCGCUGCAGAUUUGAGGAAGCCUGCUCCUAGUACGAGAGGACCGGAGUGGACAUACCUCUGGUGUAUCGGUUGUCACGCCAGUGGCAUUGCCGAGUAGCUAAGUAUGGAAGAGAUAAACGCUGAAAGCAUCUAAGCGUGAAACUCGUUUCAAGAUGAGAUCUGCCGGGGCCUUGAGCCCCCUAAAGAGUCGUUCAAGACCAGGACGUUGAUAGGUCAGGUGUGGAAGCGCAGUAAUGCGUUAAGCUAACUGAUACUAAUUGCUCGUGCGACUUGACCCU